rnacentral:lncRNA from 1 species
AAACCAUCCUACCCCUCCUCACCUUGAUGAUGGUGAUUGAUAAGUUUUAAUCUUUCAGCACCUGGUGUUAACAAGGCAGGCUUCACAGCACCAAAACAACAACAAAGAAAAACCUAAAACAUCAUUUACAGAUUGGCAGCCUGAUCCGGAGCCUGCAGAGGGAGGAGAGAGUAGCGAGGGAGGGGAGGGAGAAACUUGACUCUGUUUUCCAGACGCUGUGAGGAGAAAAUCCAGCCUGCUGAAAAGCCACAGGACACAUGAAGACGGUGAGGUGUUUGCUGGCUGGGUGGAAAGAGGCCUGCAGGCAGGGCCGGCCUACCUGUGAGUGGAUUCGAAGGCAGCGUCCCCCAGACGUGCGGCCAGGAACAGCACCUCAUUCCUGGGCACAGCGCUUGGUGAAGAUGCUGGACACCCCUUCAAAGGGCAGGCGCUGUGCUGGGCUCUGGGACUCGUGGGUGAACUGCACAGAGCUGGGCCCUGCCUUCAGGGAAAGAAGACAAUAAGCAAAACAUACCCAAAGAGAUGGUUACAAAGACAGCGAGCACCCGGAAGGAAAAUGGAAGCUGCCAGGAAAGGGGCUCCUGGGCCUACUCACCAGGAAGUCCAGUCCUCACCAGCCCGGAGGCCUGGUCUGCAUCCUCAGCCUCACAGAAGCUCAACCAGUCACUUAAAACGAGAUUGCAGUGAUGUUUUACAACUCUGUGAACGCACUAAUAGCCACUGAAUUCUACACUAACGUGUGCAUUUUAUGGUACGU